UCUAUCAAAACAAAAAAUCACAUUUAAUGUCUCUACACUAAAUCAUUUUCAACCUACCAAGUCAUCAAACAUAACCACAUACAAAGAAAAAAAAUGUCGUUAAAGUCACUACACUUAAAUAUUUUAAAAAUUCAAGUCACCAAACAUAACCACUUUCAAAAGAAAAAAUCACCUUUAAAAUCCCUACACUAAACCAUGUUAAACCAACCAUAUCACCAAACAUAAUCACUAUCAAAAUGAAAAAUACCUUCAAAGUUCCUACACUUAACCAUUUACAACUUACCAUCACCAAACAUAAGCACUUUCAAAACAAAAAAUCACCUUUAAAGUCUCUACACUUAACAUUUUAAAUCGAUCAAGUCACCAAACAUAAAUACUUUUAAAACAAAAAAUAACCAUUAAAGUACUACACUUAAACAGUUUCAACCUACC
rnacentral:lncRNA from 1 species